CUAUCAGCUCUAAUAGACCUGUUAAACAGAACACUUGAACAAUUCUCCUCCAAAUACCAGCUCUGCAAAUGAACCAAACCACACUCUGACAUUUCCUAGGCUUUCCUGUCACAGUCUGACAUUUACGCCUCUGACUACGGCCGCCAGUCUCUGCCCAGCAAUCUUGUUAUGUGUAACAGCUGGAUAAGAGAGUCGCCAGACAGAAGGCAUCAGAUUUGUUCCCACCGUGCUUUUGAUGAACUGCACGCAGGGUCUUGAAGAUAGAGCGGGGGCUAAGGCUGGUGUGUAGGUCAGACUCAUGGACACUCAGCGCGGCACAGAGUGAUGGAGGCGGUUGCUAUGGAGACCAAAGUGGGCGAGUGUGCAAUUUUGUUGUGCUGAUAUUUGGAUGUCCUUCAUAUCUAGCAUCUCAUAAACGUGUUUUUCCAAACAGCAGAGGCUGUCUGAGUGACUGAAGUCCAGGUCUCAGAGAGUUUUCUUUACACCCAGUCUAAUCCAGUCUGGAUUGUGAAUUAAAUAAAACUAGUAGCUGGUGGUGUGUCGUGCAUCCUACACUAUUCCUAAACCAUUAUUCAGCCACACCCAGUACUCAUAGACUCUAUCGUAGCUUGUCAUUUAUAAAUAAACAAAUCUGGGUAUUUCAAAUGAAACUAGAAAAACACUCGGAGAGCGCAGACCUCUGCCAAGCAGCUCAUGUCCCCCUCAUAUUGUGAUUCACACCAAAACUUUUACUGUUGCGUGUCUUUUAUUAACUUUUAUUUGUGUUUAAACUGGUAUGUUCACUGUUCAUAAUGUUCCUAAAAUAAGAAAUGCCCUGACCCGGAUUGGAACCC